UACGAAGGGGGCUAGCGUUGUUCGGAAUCACUGGGCGUAAAGGGCGCGUAGGCGGCUUUAUAAGUCGGGGGUGAAAGCCUGUGGCUCAACCAUAGAAUUGCCUUCGAUACUGUAGAGCUUGAGACCGGAAGAGGUAAGUGGAACUGCGAGUGUAGAGGUGAAAUUCGUAGAUAUUCGCAAGAACACCAGUGGCGAAGGCGGCUUACUGGUCCGGUUCUGACGCUGAGGCGCGAAAGCGUGGGGAGCAAACAGG
rnacentral:rRNA from 1 species